GAAGGGUAAAGAUCCUGGAAUCAUGGCUACUCUCGCCUUUCUGCUCUCUGCUCGCACAGGCCUGGCUGUAACUGUUGCUGAAUCUUCACGCCCACAUCCUCCUCCCUGCACCAUGUUCUUCUUGAGCUUCUGGCCACAGGGUUCCAGGAUGAGGUUGCAUUGCAGCUGGAGAGGCGGUGAGGCGAAGACAGAGGAAAAGAAUCACUAGACAACAGAGAGGAUGAAGCAAGAGAAUUGGAAGCAUCUGAAACCUACAAUUACAGCAAACAUUAAACACAGUCCAACUGU
rnacentral:lncRNA from 1 species